rnacentral:tRNA from 1 species
GGGGUUGUGGCUCAGAGGUAGAGCACUUGCCUAGCAUGUGUGAGGCCCUGGGUUCAAUCCUCAGCACCA